GACGAACGCUGGCGGCGUGCUUAACACAUGCAAGUCGAACGGUGAUGCUCCAGCUUGCUGGAGUGGAUCAGUGGCGAACGGGUGAGUAACACGUGAGCAACCUGCCCCAGACUCUGGAAUAAGCGCUGGAAACGGCGUCUAAUACUGGAUACGAAACUGGCCCGCAUGGGCAUGGUUUGGAAAGUUUUUCGGUUUGGGAUGGGCUCGCGGCCUAUCAGCUUGUUGGUGAGGUAAUGGCUCACCAAGGCGACGACGGGUAGCCGGCCUGAGAGGGCGACCGGCCACACUGGGACUGAGACACGGCCCAGACUCCUACGGGAGGCAGCAGUGGGGAAUAUUGCACAAUGGGCGAAAGCCUGAUGCAGCGACGCCGCGUGAGGGAUAACGGCCUUCGGGUUGUAAACCUCUUUCAGCAGGGAAGAAGCGAAAGUGACGGUACCUGCAGAAGAAGCACCGGCUAACUACGUG
rnacentral:rRNA from 1 species